rnacentral:rRNA from 1 species
GAUGAACGCUAGCGGCAGGCCUAAUACAUGCAAGUCGAACGGUGUCUUCGGACAUAGUGGCGCACGGGUGCGUAACACGUAUGCAACCUACCUUACAUUGGGGGAUAGCCUUUCGAAAGGGAGAUUAAUACCGCAUAAGACAGUAGCUGGGCAUCCAGCAGCUGUUAAAGAUUUAUCGAUGUAAGCUGGGCAUGCGUCCAAUUAAUUAGUUGGCGGGGUAACGGCCCACCAAGACGAUGAUCAGUAGGGGAACUGAGAGGUUGAUCCCCCACACUGGCACUGAGAUACGGGCCAGACUCCUACGGGAGGCAGCAGUAGGGAAUAUUGGUCAAUGGAUGGAAGUCUGAACCAGCCAUGCCGCGUGCAGGAAGAAGGCCUUCUGGGUUGUAAACUGCUUUUGCCGGGGGAUAAAAUGAGCGUGCGCGCUUAAUUGAAGGUACCCGGUGAAUAAGCCACGGCUAACUACGUGCCAGCAGCCGCAGUAAAAC